rnacentral:rRNA from 1 species
GCGGAGGAAAAGAAACUAACAAGGAUUCCCCUAGUAACUGCGAGUGAAGCGGGAAGAGCUCAAAUUUAAAAUCUGGCAGUCUUCUGGCUGUCCGAGUUGUAAUCUGGAGAAGCGUUUUCUGUGUUAGACCGUGUACAAGUCUCCUGGAACGGAGCGUCAUAGAGGGUGAGAAUCCCGUCCAUGACACGGACUACUAAUACUUUGUGAUACGCUCUCGAAGAGUCGAGUUGUUUGGGAAUGCAGCUCAAAAUGGGUGGUAAAUUCCAUCUAAAGCUAAAUACAGGCGAGAGACCGAUAGCGAACAAGUACCGUGAGGGAAAGAUGAAAAGCACUUUGGAAAGAGAGUUAAACAGUACGUGAAAUUGUUGAAAGGGAAACGCUUGAAGUCAGUCGUGUUGUGCAGAACUCAGCCUUGCCUCGGCUUGGUGUACUUUCUGCACAACGGGUCAACAUCAAUUUUGGCCCAUGGAGAAAGGUGGGGGGAAUGUAGCGCUGUUUCGGCAGCGUGUUAUAGCCCUCUAUUGUAUACAUGGGCUGGGAUUGAGGAUUGCAGCACGCCCUUGUGGCCGGGGGUUCGCCCUACGUACCGUGCUUAGGAUGUUGGCAGAAUGGCUUUAAGCGACCCGUCUUGAAACACGGACCAAGGAGUCUAACAUGCUUGCGAGUGUUCGGGUGGAAAACCCUUGUGCGUAAUGAAAGUGAAAGUUGGGAACCUCCGCAAGGGGGUGCACCGACGCCCGGCCCUGACGUUCUCUGACGGUGCUGCGGUAGAGCAAGUAUGCUAGGACCCGAAAGAUGGUGAACUAUGCCUGAAUAGGGCGAAGCCAGAGGAAACUCUGGUGGAGGCUCGUAGCGAUUCUGACGUGCAAAUCGAUCGUCAAAUUUGGGUAUAGGGGCGAAAGACUAAUCGAACCAUCUAGUAGCUGG